GUAGUGACGAAAAAUAACGAUGCAGAACUCUUUCCGAGGCUCUGCAAUCGGAAUGAGUACACUCUAAAUCAUUUAACGAGUAUCCAUUGGAGGGCAAGUCUGGUGCCAGCAGCCGCGGUAAUUCCAGCUCCAAUAGCGUAUAUUAAAGUUGUUGCGGUUAAAAAGCUCGUAGUUGGAUCUGUGUCCCACUCUGUCGGUUCGUUGCCCGUCAGCGUUUAACUGGCAGGCAGGUGGGACGUCCUGCCGGUUGGCAGCGUGUUCCCGCAAGGGUGCGCGUGCGCCAGUCCAAUCCUGUCGCGGUGCUCUUUAUUGAGUGUCGAGGCAGGCCGGCACGUUUACUUUGAACAAAUUUGAGUGCUUAAAGCAGGCCGCGACGCCUGAAAAGUGUUUGCAUGGAAUAAUGGAAUAGGACCCCGGUUCUAUUUUGUUGGUUUUCGGAGCCCGAGGUAAUGAUUAAUAGGGACAGGCGGGGGCAUUAGUAUUGCGACGUUAGAGGUGAAAUUCUUGGAUCGUCGCAAGACUGACCUAAGCGAAAGCAUUUGCCAAGGAUGCUUCCAUUAAUCAAGAACGAAAGUUAGAGGUUCGAAGGCGAUCAGAUACCGCCCUAGUUCUAACCAUAAACGAUGCCAGCCAGCGAUCCGUCGAAGUUCCUCCGAUGACUCGACGGGCAGCUUCCGGGAAACUAAAGCUUUUAGGUUCCGGGGGAAGUAUGGUUGCAAAGCUGAAACUUAAAGGAAUUGACGGAAGGGCACCACCAGGAGUGGAGCCUGCGGCUUAAUUUGACUCAACACGGGAAACCUCACCAGGCCCAGACACCGGAAGGAUUGACAGAUUGAGAGCUCUUUCUUAUUCGGUGGGUGGUGGUGCANCNNG
rnacentral:rRNA from 1 species